GGGGAUGUAGCUCAAUGGUUAGAGCUUUCGCCUUUUAAGCGAUA
rnacentral:tRNA from 1 species